AUGGCGGCGUGCACAGUGCCGUACGCACAGGGGCAGGGCCAUGAACUGCAGCAAGAUUUCGACUACUUCUUGGUAGUGGACUUCGAGGCGACGUGCCAGAAAGACGCGCGGAUCUACCCGCAGGAGAUCAUCGAGUUCCCCGCGGUCCUCGUCGACGCCGCCACCGGCCGCCUCGAGUCCGCGUUUCGCCGCUACAUCCGCCCGAAGCACCACCCUGUGCUGACCCAGUUCUGCAGGGACCUCACCGGCAUCCAGCAGGAGGACGUCGACGGCGGCGUGGAUCUCGGCCAGGCGCUCCGGCUGCACGACGCCUGGCUGAGGGCGGCGACGACGGGGGCAGGGACCAAGCGAUCCGGCGGCCGCUUGGCGGGCAUCGAGAAGCCCUCCUACUUCGAUCGCUGGAUCAACCUGAGGGUCCCCUUCCAGGCGGCGCUCGGCGGCGGAGGGCGGGUCAACCUGCAGGAGGCGGUCCGGGCGGCGGGACUGGACUGGGAGGGCCGCCUGCACUGCGGGCUGGACGACGCGCGCAACACGGCGCGGCUUCUUGUCGAGCUCAUGCUGCGCGGGGUCAAGAUGAGCAUUACUGGCUCGCUGGCGCUGCCACGGCCGAUCCAGCAGCAGCCGCCUCACAUAAGCCCUUUCGGUGGCUCCUCAGCGCUGGCGCCGCCGCCCAUCCGGCAGCAGCAGCCGCCGCAGCCUCACGUAAGCACCUGCGGUGGCUCGUCUGUGGCGUGCUUCUGCUACUGCGCACUGCGGCCAGCGGGUGGCGGCCAGAGGAGGUGUGGUGUCGGUGCCAGGACCGAUGCAGGGGAAGUGCUUCUUUGCGUGCGUCAAUGGGAGCCGUGUGCUGUUAGUGUGUAG
rnacentral:rRNA from 1 species